rnacentral:lncRNA from 1 species
GUGCCAUUGGGCUGCCAGAGUUGCUCAUCUGUUCCCAGGAGGACCAGGGAGUGGGGAAGGCCAGGGCCAGAUUCUGCAGCGCUUCCCAGAGAAGGACUGGGAGGACAACCCAUUCCCCCAGGGCAUCGAGCUGUUUUGCCAGCCCAGCGGGUGGCAGCUGUGUCCCGAGAGGAAUCCACCGACCUUCUUUGUUGCUGUCCUCACCGACAUCAACUCCGAGCGCCACUACUGCGCCUGCUUGACCUUCUGGGAGCCAGCGGAGCCUUCACAGGAAACGACGCGCGUGGAGGAUGCCACAGAGAGGGAGGAAGAGGGGGAUGAGGGAGGCCAGACCCACCUGUCUCCCACAGCACCUGCCCCAUCUGCCCAGCUGUUUGCACCGAAGACGCUGGUACUGGUGUCGCGACUCGACCACACGGAGGUGUUCAGGAACAGCCUUGGCCUCAUCUAUGCCAUCCACGUGGAGGGCCUGAAUGUGUGCCUGGAGAACGUGAUUGGGAACCUGCUGACGUGCACUGUGCCCCUGGCUGGGGGCUCGCAGAGGACGAUCUCUUUGGGGGCUGGUGACCGGCAGGUCAUCCAGACUCCACUGGCCGACUCGCUGCCCGUCAGCCGCUGCAGCGUGGCCCUGCUCUUCCGCCAGCUAGCUUCUCUUCUUCCUUUAGGCAUCACCAACGUGCUGUCUUUGUUCUGUGCCGCCCUCACGGAGCACAAGGUUCUCUUCCUGUCCCGGAGCUACCAGCGGCUCGCCGAUGCCUGUAGGGGCCUCCUGGCACUGCUGUUUCCUCUCAGAUACAGCUUCACCUAUGUGCCCAUCCUGCCGGCUCAGCUGCUGGAGGUCCUCAGCACACCCACGCCCUU